rnacentral:misc_RNA from 1 species
GAUGAAGAACGUAGCGAAAUGCGAUAAGUAAUGUGAAUUGCAGAAUUCAGUGAAUCAUCGAAUCUUUGAACGCACCUUGCACCCUUUGGUAUUCCGAAGGGUAUGCUCGUUUGAGUGUCAUUGUACUCUCACACUUCCGAUCGUUUGGAUCGGGAGCGGUGGACUUGGGUGUUGCUGCUUUACUGUGGCUCACCUUAAAUGCAUUAGUGCACCUUUCGGUUGGACAUAGUACGGCGUGAUAAGUGUCUUCGCCGGCACCUCACAGAGGGUGGCCGAUCGGGAGCUCUGUGCUUCAAACUGUCUUCGGACAACAUCUGACAACUUGACCUCAAAUCGAGUAGGACUACCCGCUGAACUUAAGCAUAUCAAUAAGAGGAGGA